UCGGCAGAGAUGCCUUAGUGCCUUCGGGAACCGUGAGACAGGUGCUGCAUGGCUGUCGUCAGCUCGUGUUGUGAAAUGUUGGGUUAAGUCCCGCAACGAGCGCAACCCUUAUCCUUUGUUGCCAGCGGUCCGGCCGGGAACUCAAAGGAGACUGCCAGUGAUAAACUGGAGGAAGGUGGGGAUGACGUCAAGUCAUCAUGGCCCUUACGACCAGGGCUACACACGUGCUACAAUGGCGCAUACAAAGAGAAGCGACCUCGCGAGAGCAAGCGGACCUCAUAAAGUGCGUCGUAGUCCGGAUUGGAGUCUGCAACUCGACUCCAUGAAGUCGGAAUCGCUAGUAAUCGUGGAUCAGAAUGCCACGGUGAAUACGUUCCCGGGUCUUGUACACACCGAA
rnacentral:rRNA from 1 species